rnacentral:misc_RNA from 1 species
GAUGAAGAACGUAGUGAAAUGCGAUACGUAAUGUGAAUUGCAGAAUUCAGUGAAUCAUCGAAUCUUUGAACGCAUAUUGCGCUCUCUGGUAUUCCGGAGAGCAUGCUUGUUUGAGUAUCAGUAAACACCUCAACUCCCUUUUCUUUUUUGAAAUUGGAGCUGGACUUGAGUGAUCCCAACGCUUUCUUCCAAGAAAGUGGCGGGUUGCUUGAAAUGCAGGUGCAGCUGAACUUUUCUCUGAGCUAUAAGCAUAUCUAUUUAGUCUGCCUAAAAAACAGAUUAUUACCUUUGCUGCAGCUAACAUAAGGAGACUAGUUCUUGUGCUGACUGAUGCAGGAUUCACAGAGACAGCUUCGGCUGACUUUGUAAACUCGAUCUCAAAUCAAGUAAGACUACCCGCUGAACUUAAGCAUAUCAAUAAGCGGAGGA